UUCUCUCGCAAACAGAGACCUCAGUCUUGACAACAUCUCUAAUGAUUAUCCAGAGUCACUGAAGCAAUGUCCUAAGUGCAGUUGGUGUUGCUACAACACUGGUGACAUCAUGGAAUGCCAGGAGCUCUCUAGGAUACAAUAGAAUGCCCAGGGAAGGGCCUGCUGAUCUCAUGGAGAACAGCCUUUGCCACCCUGCUAAUUAUCACUCCAUGAAUGAUCCAAAAUCCCAGGUUCCCUUUCCAGGACCCUGCCUUGGAAUAAAGGAUGGAACAAAAAUGAUCCUGCCUGUCCAUCCUUUGGCAUCAUAGCUCAGAGAGGGGUCUGAGAUAAACUCCAGAGACCAGGGCUGGGGAGGAUCAUCAUAAGAAACAGGAAUGCCCCCACCUUGACUGGUAUAGGACCUAGACGUCUCACUUCACUGGAAUGGUUUGGCACUGCCAGGAGGGAGAACCUGGCCUCCAGCAGAACCCAGCUACCAGAUAAGGGCCUGAUGGCACAGGGAACAUAGCUAUUUUCCAUACAUGAAAUAUACCAGCAGAAGCAGUUUAUGAC